CCCGCCGUAGUUCAACGGAUAGAACAUAUGCCUCCUAAGCGUAAGAUACAGGUUCGAUUCCUGUCGGCGGGGCCA
rnacentral:tRNA from 3 species